UUGGUUAAGUUAGAAAGGGCGCACGGUGGAUGCCUUGGCACUAGGAGCCGAAGAAGGACGGGACUAACACCGAUAUGCUUUGGGGAGCUGUACGUAAGCGUUGAUCCAGAGAUUUCCGAAUGGGGGAACCCACUAUCUUUAGUCGGAUAGUAUCCUUACGUGAAUACAUAGCGUGAGGAAGGCAGACCCAGGGAACUGAAACAUCUAAGUACCUGGAGGAAGAGAAAGAAAAAUCGAUUUCCUGAGUAGCGGCGAGCGAAACGGAAAGAGCCCAAACCAAGAAGCUUGCUUCUUGGGGUUGUAGGACACUCUAUACGGAGUUACAAAAGAAAGUUAUAAAUGAAGCGGUCUGGAAAGGCCCGCCAAAGACGGUAACAGCCCGGUAGUUGAAAUGGCUUUCCCUCCAGAGUGGAUCCUGAGUACGGCGGAACACGUGAAAUUCCGUCGGAAUCCGGGAGGACCAUCUCCCAAGGCUAAAUACUCCCUAGUGACCGAUAGUGAACCAGUACCGUGAGGGAAAGGUGAAAAGCACCCCGGAAGGGGAGUGAAACAGUUCCUGAAACCGUGUGCCUACAAGUAGUUAGAGCCCGUUAAUGGGUGAUAGCGUGCCUUUUGUAGAAUGAACCGGCGAGUUACGAUUUGUUGCAAGGUUAAGCGGAAAAAGCGGAGCCGUAGCGAAAGCGAGUCUGAAUAGGGCGCAUAAGUAACAGGUCGUAGACCCGAAACCAGGUGAUCUACCCAUGUCCAGGAUGAAGGUAAGGUAAUACUUACUGGAGGUCCGAACCCACGCACGUUGAAAAGUGCGGGGAUGAGGUGUGGGUAGCG
rnacentral:rRNA from 1 species